UACGUAGGUGGCAAGCGUUGUCCGGAAUUAUUGGGCGUAAAGCGCGCGCAGGCGGUCUCUUAAGUCUGAUGUGAAAUCCCGUGGCUUAACCACGGGCGGUCAUUGGAAACUGAGGGACUUGAGUGCAGAAGAGAAGAGCGGAAUUCCACGUGUAGCGGUGAAAUGCGUAGAGAUGUGGAGGAACACCAGUGGCGAAGGCGGCUCUUUGGUCUGUAACUGACGCUGAGGCGCGAAAGCGUGGGGAGCGAACAGG
rnacentral:rRNA from 1 species